AUGGAGAGAAUCCAUGAGGGAACUUGCCGGUCUUUUCAAGUUAACAACUUGCAGCACUUCUUAGAGACAGAGGGUCACGGCUGCUGGGGUUACGCUGCCUGCGCUUCACCCAACUGCUGCUCGGAGCACCAGGAGGUUUUUGCUGGACUUCACCGACCUGUGGACCACAGUCCAAGAAGAAAAUUCAUCCCUGCUUCUGUUACCGCUCGUUCCCCCUUGGGGAUGUUUACAAGAGGCAGGAAUGAUCUUCCCUGUGGCUCUGACUGGGGAAGAGGGGACCCCCUCCAUGAAACAGCUGUACGGGCACAGGAUCCACCGCUUAGCAACAUGUAAUGUACUGCGGAGCAAAAGGGACCCAGAAGAAACUUCAGGGAUCAGAAAAUGGAAGACAAGGGACUGCUGGAGAGCAGGAACAGUCCUGAGCUCAGAUGGCAGCACACCCAGACUGGAAUUCACAUGCAGAGCUCUGCCACUUCAGGGCUGCGUGGGCUUUGAAUUGCUUUCCAGUGCCUCUUCAUUAAGGUAG
rnacentral:lncRNA from 1 species